rnacentral:rRNA from 1 species
UACGUAGGGUGCGAGCGUUGUCCGGAUUUAUUGGGCGUAAAGAGCGUGUAGGCGGCUAGGUAGGUCCGUUGUGAAAACUCGAGGCUCAACCUCGAGACGUCGAUGGAAACCAUCUAGCUAGAGUCCGGAAGAGGAGAGUGGAAUUCCUGGUGUAGCGGUGAAAUGCGCAGAUAUCAGGAAGAACACCCGUGGCGAAGGCGGCUCUCUGGUACGUGACUGACGCUGAGACGCGAAAGCGUGGGGAGCGAACAGG